AUUGAACGCUGGCGGAAUGCUUUACACAUGCAAGUCGAGCGGCAGCACGGGGGCAACCCUGGUGGCGAGCGGCGAACGGGUGAGUAAUACAUCGGAACAUGCCCAGUCGUGGGGGAUAACACUUCGAAAGAAGUGCUAAUACCGCAUACGUCCUGAGGGGGAAAGCGGGGGAUCGCAAGACCUCGCGCGAUUGGAGUGGCCGAUGUCAGAUUAGCUAGUUGGUGGGGUAAAGGCCUACCAAGGCAACGAUCUGUAGCUGGUCUGAGAGGAUGAUCAGCCACACUGGGACUGAGACACGGCCCAGACUCCUACGGGAGGCAGCAGUGGGGAAUUUUGGACAAUGGGGGCAACCCCGAUCCAGCCAUUCCGCGUGAGUGAAGAAGGCCUUCGGGUUGUAAAGCUCUUUCGGCAGGAACGAAACGGUGGGCUCUAACAUAGCUUGCUAAUGACGGUACCUGAAGAAGAAGCACCGGCUAACUACGUG
rnacentral:rRNA from 1 species